rnacentral:rRNA from 1 species
UUCACGGAGAGUUUGAUCCUGGCUCAGGACGAACGCUGGCGGCGUGCUUAACACAUGCAAGUGGAGCGACGAACCAGGGCUUGCCCUGGGGCAAAGCCGCGAACGGGUGAGUAACACGUGGGUCACCUGCCUCGAUGACUGGGACAACCCGGGGAAACUCGGGCUAAUACCGGAUGUGCCCGCAAGGGGAAAGGAAGCUUCGGCCUCCGCAUCGAGAUGGGCCCGCGGCCCAUUAGCUUGUUGGUGUGGUAACGGCUCACCAAGGCUCCGAUGGGUAGCUGGUCUGAGAGGACGAUCAGCCACACUGGGACUGAGACACGGCCCAGACUCCUACGGGAGGCAGCAGUGGGGAAUCUUGCGCAAUGCGCGAAAGCGUGACGCAGCAACGCCGCGUGGGGGAAGAAGGCUUUCGGGUUGUAAACCCCUUUCAGUUGGGACGAAGCUCUGCCGAUGAAUAGUCGGUUGGAGUGACGGUACCUUCACAAGAAGCACCGGCUAACUACGUGCCAGCAGCCGCGGUAAU